rnacentral:rRNA from 1 species
UACGAAGGGGGGCUAGCGUUGUUCGGAAUUACUGGGCGUAAAGCGCGCGCAGGCGGUCUUCCAAGUCAGUGGUGAAAGCCCCGGAGCUCAACUCCGGAACUGCCAUUGAAACUGUUGGACUUGAGUACGAGAGAGGUGAGUGGAAAUUCCCAGUGUAGAGGUGAAAUUCGUAGAUAUUGGGAAGAACACCGGUGGCGAAGGCGGCUCACUGGCUCGUAACUGACGCUCAGGCGCGACAGCGUGGGGAUCAAACAGG